rnacentral:rRNA from 1 species
GAGUAAUGUCUGGGAAACUGCCUGAUGGAGGGGGAUAACUACUGGAAACGGUAGCUAAUACCGCAUAACGUCGCAAGACCAAAGAGGGGGACCUUCGGGCCUCUUGCCAUCGGAUGUGCCCAGAUGGGAUUAGCUAGUAGGUGGGGUAACGGCUCACCUAGGCGACGAUCCCUAGCUGGUCUGAGAGGAUGACCAGCCACACUGGAACUGAGACACGGUCCAGACUCCUACGGGAGGCAGCAGUGGGGAAUAUUGCACAAUGGGCGCAAGCCUGAUGCAGCCAUGCCGCGUGUAUGAAGAAGGCCUUCGGGUUGUAAAGUACUUUCAGCGGGGAGGAAGGGAGUAAAGUUAAUACCUUUGCUCAUUGACGUUACCCGCAGAAGAAGCACCGGCUAACUCCGUGCCAGCAGCCGCGGUAAUACGGAGGGUGCAAGCGUUAAUCGGAAUUACUGGGCGUAAAGCGCACGCAGGCGGUUUGUUAAGU